AUGCCUACGGGACGCAGCAGCGGGGAAUAUUGCACAAUGGGGGGAACCCUGAUGCAGCGACGCCGCGUGGGUGAAGGAGCACCUCGGUGCGUAAAACCCUAUCGGCAGGGAAGAAACAGACGGUACCUGACUAAGAAGCCCCGGCUAACUACGUGCCAGCAGCCGCGGUAAUACGUAGGGGGCAAACGUUAUCCGGAUUCACUGGGUGUAAAGGGAGCGUAGACGGCGACGCAAGUCUGGAGUGAAAGACCGGGGCCCAACCCC
rnacentral:rRNA from 1 species